ACUCAAAUGAAUUGACGGGGGCCCGCACAAGCGGUGGAGUAUGUGGCUUAAUUCGAUGCAACGCGAAGAACCUUACCUAGGCUUGACAUGCAUCUCUAAGCCGGUGAAAGCCGGUGAGUGUAGCAAUACACAAUUUGCACAGGUGCUGCAUGGCUGUCGUCAGCUCGUGUCGUGAGAUGUUGGGUUAAGUCCCGCAACGAGCGCAACCCUUGUGAGCUGUUGCUCCAUGGACACAUGGAGAUCUCUGCUCAGACUGCCCUGUGAAACGGGGAGGAAGGUGAGGAUGACGUCAAGUCAGCAUGGCCCUUACGCCUAGGGCUGCACACGUACUACAAUGCCCAGUACAGAACGAGCCGAACCAGCAAUGGCUAGGAAAUCAGUAAAACUGGGCCCAGUUCGGAUUGUGGGCUGCAACUCGCCCGCAUGAAGCUGGAAUCGCUAGUAAUGGCGCAUCAGCUACGGCGCCGUGAAUACGUUCCCGGGCCUUGUACACACCGCCCGU
rnacentral:rRNA from 1 species